rnacentral:rRNA from 1 species
GACCUCAAAUCAGGAAAGAAGACCCCCUGAAUUUAAGCAUAUAAUUAAGGGGAGGAAAAGAAACUAACCAGGAUUCCCUUAGUAACGGCGAGUGAAGCGGGAAAAGCUCAAUAUGAAAAUCUAGGCAUUUGCCUCGAAUUGUAGUCUAUAGAAGUUUUACCAGUGUAAAUAUUUGGUCAAAAUCCCUUGGAAUAGGGUAUCACAGAGGGUGAGAAUCCCGUUUGUGGCUGAAUAUUUUAUGCGUACGGUAUGCUUUCAACGAGUCGAGUUGCUUGGGACUGCAGCUCAAAGUAGGAGGUAAAUUCCUUCUAAAGCUAAAUAUUGGCGAGAGACCGAUAGCGAACAAGUACCGUGAGGGAAAGAUGCAAAGAACUUUGAAAAGAGAGUGAAAGAGUACCUGAAAUUGCUAAAAGGGAACAGAUUGCAACUAGUGUGUUUCUUCAUAUUUUUCA